AUCCAACCCAGAACUUCCAUGCUAGGCAAGAACCUAACCACUGAGCUAUGUCCCAGCCCUGUGUGAAAACUUUACGCAUUUUCAAAGAGAUUUUAAAAACAGUUUAUCUAAUCAUUGCUUUUCUGUCUUCAGAUGAAAUACCAUUCCUUUUGGACAAGAUGAGAAAAUCAACUGCAGAGAGAUUAAGUAACCUGCCCAAAACCAUAGGGAAAGUUGAAAAAAGAACCCGAACUAUUGUCUUAAUCUGCAUACAGCUAAGGCAAAUCUUUAGCUCACUUUAUAUUGUGUGCCUUAAAACAAUACUUUUCUUCUGACCCUUUAGGAUAGGUGACACCAUUCUUCUUGUUUUACAGUGAUCAGAUGAGGAUCAGAGGUCAAAUGACUUAUUGCACCAAGGUCAAGGUCACAUAGCUAUCUGAACUGGGAAACACCUUACAUUAGUGGGUAUAAAGUCACCUGUCCUAUAUCAAGAACACCAUCUCAUACUGUCUUCCUUGUUUCAGAAUUCUUAGGCACCUAGGUAAGUAAUUCCUGUAUGAUGUAAAAGGCCAUUACAAUGAUCAAGGAGAGAAUAUUUUAUUAACAUAUAUCAUGGAUAUUUUGCCAAACUUCAAGGCUGAGCAAAUAAUUACAUAAAAGGCAAAAUAAAUCUGUGUACUAGAAAUUAAUCACUUCUCCCCCUGGGCUCACACAUCUGUUUGAUUUUGCCUUCUGUUAUUAUGACUGGAUUGUCUGCUCCACCCCACCGUGUAUUACAGAGCAGGGAGGUAGGCUUUGGAACCAAGAGAAUCCAGGUUCUAAAUUCUGACGUGCAUGUGGUGGAGCCCUGGACACUAUUCUUCUCGGUGUUGCCAUGAAAAUUAAAAUAACCAAAGGUGAGUUAGUGGCAAAGUACCAACUGGUACCCAUCAACACAGUUCAUUAAUAAUCUCCAUCAAGGCAGGGUCAGAGGCGCCUUCAGGGUGGGAACCAGUACUGGAGCAGUCAGAAAAACACAGCUUGCUUUUCAAAACAUCCUUGUCUGAUUUCCUCUUCCAUUGUGGCUGGACUUCAUCCCCUUCAACAAACAGCUCUGCCUCGGGCCUGGAAUCCCCCAACACAGGUCCCAGGGUCUCACCAGGAGCAGGGGGAAGGAUGAGGGCCUCUCACAGUUACUCUCAGUUCCAAUGUCCGAGGGAAGAGAAAACAGAGUGAACAAAUACAUCUGAAGAAAGAAAGAUGAUGUGUGAUAGGAUUCAGGACCCCCAAGCGUGGCAAUGUCCCAAGUGAGAGUACAUUUAAGGCAAGGGACACACUUUUAGAUGACAACCAAAGCACUUCUCUAUUCCGACAAAGAAAGAGGUGUGGGAUUCACGUUCCAGACCUCUGCACUCAGGGUGCGUGUCUGCCCUGCCUCGGGAUUCCUCUGGAAGAGAGGCCCGGGCCCUGCAGCCAAAAGAAGUGGAGAGCAUUGUCCCACCCCUUGCCUGCUACACCAGGCUCCAGCCACACUCAGAGAGCAGGAGGACCCGCCAGAGGAACUCAUGCCGCUGGAUGGGACAGGAACACUGACUAUCGCUGCUGUCCCCAUUUCAUAGAAGAGCACUGCAAGGCUCGCAGAGCUGUCUUCAGUGUAUUUACUAUGGAUUGCAAGCAUACACUAAUUUAAAUAGAUGGGCCAAAAAGAAAAUUUUCUAUAUAUUUGGGUGCAGUUUUUAAUCAGAAUACAGCCUUCCCUUUGAAAGGCAAGCACAUGUUUAGAAAUGAAUUGUAAUUUUCACAUUACUUCAUUGAGAAAAGCAGAAAGUUCGGUGUUUACAGUUUUAGCUAAAAAUCUAUGGUCUGAAAAAUAAUGAUUAAAAAAUACUUAAGGCAGGCAUAGUGAUGUACACUUACAAUUUCAGAACUUGGGAGGCUGAAACAGGAGGGUCGUGAGUUCAGGGCUAGCAUGGGCUAUAGAGAAAGACUGUUUCAAAAAACAAAACUAAAAUUUAAUUCUGUGAUUGGAUUCUACCUCACUAAUUUCCUUCUUAAAAAGGUUAUUAAUUCUUGGUAAAAAAAAAAUGAUUUUGAAGUUAUAACAAAAAGAAAUUCUGAUGGAGGCUACUGAGGUCAAGUCAGGAGCAACAGGAGGAAAAGGUAACUAUAAACUGCAACUCUGCAGGUACCAUGGCUUAACACCGAAGGCCACUUAAUUACACUCAGAAAGUGUGGCAAGGUCGCAGUGUGGGGAGGGCAGUGUGAGAACGGCCGUGGAAUAUGAGCAAGAAGCCGCACUGGCAAUCGCUGAGGUACCGGACAGCAAUCUCUGUGGCCGUCUGUGUCCCUGCGUAGUCACAGCCAAUCCUGCCUUUGUGGAGGUGACUUCGGAGCUGGGCUGCCCUGUCACACUGAUCGUUCUCCAGACUCCAUCACUUCUUCCUCUGAAUAUCCUUCUCCAUCUUUUCAACCCAGCUCCUCGGGUCAGUGUUCAAGCAGCAGCCCCCGGCUCCUCUCCACCUCCCAAAUGAAUGUCUCUGUACACCGCGCUCAUUUUUAUCUAAUACCCCAUGUGUCCUAACAUUCUCCGGAUGAAGGGACUUUCAUGUCUUCCCAUUGCCUACUGAGGAAAGUUAAACUUCCUGACCACUGCAUCCAACAGCCCCCACAAGCUGGCCUUGGGAUGCCUGUCCAGUUUUAUUGUCUACUCAGUAGCAACACACCUUGUUUGUGCCCUGGUCACUGAGGGGGCUCUGCCCAGCCUCGAAUACACCAACACACCUGUGUUCUCAUGUUUUCAGUUUGCCAAGACAAGUUAUUCUCAAACCAUUCUGUGCAAUGGAGUCAACAGGUAGUUGUUUCCAAAUUAUAAUUGCCUGGGGCACCUCUGGAGAGUUAGAGGAAGUCUGCGAAGGGCUUGAGUGGGGAGGUUUUAGGAAGCUCUCCACGUGACUCCAAGAUGCAUUCUGGGUUGGAAACUUCUAGGCUGGAAUGAGUCUUUUCCAUACCCCCCAGACUUAGGCAUUCCCUUUGGUUUACAUUUACUUCUGGACAGGUGUUCAUUUUCAUAUAUUUAUACAAAGUAUACCCCCUUCAUAUGAUGCAAUAAAUUAAAAGUGCUGGCUACUCAAAAUGUUCCAUGCUAGACUUUUACUUCUUGGGGAUAGGAUAUUAUCUUACUUAUUUUUUCAUUUCCAGAAUCCAGUGGGGUGUUUGAGCACAUAUUAGAUUUUUCUGGUAUAAAAAGUCCAUGUCAUAAUAAAAUACCAAUGCUCCGGGCUUAAUUCAAGUGCUACCUUUUCUAGGAUGCCUCUUCUUAUCAACCUCAGCAAGACUUGUUUUCACCCUCCUCUGUGUUCCUAUAACCUUAUUCAUUCCUCUGAUACGGUACACUGAACUUACAGCUAUUUGUUUGUUUAAUGACUUCCGUUAAAUUUUAAGUGCCAUUAAGGCAGAGAUUACACCUUUUUAUAAUUGUGUAACUAUGCAAUCGGCUAUCAUAGUACAUGCAAAUGAAAUGUUAAAUUCUU